UCAUUGUUAGGAGAGUGCUGAUGG
rnacentral:piRNA from 1 species